rnacentral:lncRNA from 1 species
AGCGACAACUGCGCCAUCUAUGGAAGCUCUAGAAAUGUGUCUAGAAAAGCUGGAGAUAAGAAAACAUUGGUGAUUUAGAGAGAGAAACAGAAACAUAAGUAGUGAUUUAGAAAGAAACAGAAACAUUGGUGAUUUAGAGACAGAAACAGAAACAUAAGUAGUGAUUUAGAAAGAAACAGAAACAUAAGCAAGUAGUGAUUUACAGAGAGAAAAAGAAACAUAAGUAAAGGAUCAA